UACGGGGGGGGCAAGCGUUGUUCGGACUUACUGGGCGUAAAGGGCUCGUAGGCGGCCAACUAAGUCAGACGUGAAAUCCCUCGGCUUAACCGGGGAACUGCGUCUGAUACUGGAUGGCUUGAGUUUGGGAGAGGGAUGCGGAAUUCCUGGUGUAGCGGUGAAAUGCGCAGAUAUCAGGAGGAACACCAAUGGCGAAGGCAGCGCGCUGGGACGUGACUGACGCUGAGACGCGAAAGCGUGGGGAGCAAACAGG
rnacentral:rRNA from 1 species